rnacentral:misc_RNA from 1 species
UGGCUCUCCUAUCGAUGAAGAACGCAGCGAAAUGCGAUAAGUAAUGUGAAUUGCAGAAUUCAGUGAAUCAUCGAAUCUUUGAACGCACCUUGCGCCCUUUGGUAUUCCGAAGGGCAUGCCUGUUUGAGUGUCAUUAAAUUAUCAACCUUACUUGCUUUAUUGUGAGCUAGGCUUGGAUGUGAGGGCUGCUGGCUUCCUUCAGUGGAUGGUCUGCUCCCUUUAAAUACAUUAGUGGGAUCUCUUGUGGACCGUCACUUGGUGUGAUAAUUAUCUACGCCGCUUGACUUUGAAGCAAACUUUAUGGGAACCUGCUUAUAACCGUCCAUUGACUUGGAGAAACUUACUUGACAAUUUGACCUCAAAUCAGGUAGGACUACCCGCUGA